UGCUAGAUAGCUCAAUUGGUAAAGCACCUGACUAUAGAUUCAGGGGGCCCAGGUUUGAAUCCUGGUCUAGUUU
rnacentral:tRNA from 1 species